AUACGGAGGGUGCAAGCGUUAUUCGGAAUCACUGGGCGUAAAGGACGCGUAGGCGUGUUGGCAAGUCAGAUGUGAAAUCCUACAGCUUAACUGUAGAACUGCAUUUGAAACUGCUAACCUAGAGUAUGGGAGGGGGAGAUGGAAUUAGUGGUGUAGGGGUAAAAUCCGUAGAUAUCACUAGGAAUACCGAAAGCGAAGGCGAUCUCCUGGAACAUAACUGACGCUAAGGCGUGAAAGCGUGGGGAGCAAACAGGAUUAGAAACCCUAGUAGUCC
rnacentral:rRNA from 1 species